UGGGGGCUUCUAGCACAAAGCUGACACUAACACCUGGAAAGCUUCAAAAUCAACCAAAGACGUCCAAAGUUUGAAGGCUUUGAGGAAAAAACGAGACAGACUGAGCUCCAGACAGCUGGAAACCUCUGUGGUUAUUCCAGUAAACACAGUGGUCUUUUCUAAGAAUGAUUUACUUUGUAAAUUAAGUUGCUGAAAGCAAUAUGACUAUUAACAGAGGAAAAAUUUUGCUGAAGUACACCGAUCACUAUAGUCACAGGCUGCCACCCAUCUUUAAUGGUCCCAAUAUUUUUCUGGCCUCCAAAAUAUGUGUUGAUCAUAAUUAUUAACAGUCUGGUAUGAUGAGUAGCUUUGUUUGGAAUUGUGCAGAGCUCGUCUGUGCCAGUGUAGUGUACUGGUGUAGUGAAGGUUGGCCAGCAGAUGUCAUCAUGGAGACGGGUUUCAGAUUGUUUCAAAGCCUCAAUACAACUCUGGCACAAAUGCUUUGAGUGUUUCAGUGUUUCACAAAGUCUCACUUUGCCCAUCUAUAGGUUUGAUUUACCCCAUUAUAACUGCCCUAACACACAACAAACACAGGGGAUAUAACUACUGGCUGAUCAGUCCAGGACGUAAGCACAUAAGGUAAUAACAAAUACUAACAAAUUAUGUAACACCAAACAAAACAAAAUAACUGUUAAUUUAAUAACCUCUUCAAAUCAAUAAUACUGAACAACAAUGCCUAGUGUGAGUCUAUAUAUUAGUAAAAACUAAAACCUGUUUGUAGAUUCUGUGUUACCCAGAGAAUAGCUUUGUGCGCCAAUUCAAUUUUAAACAAUUUUCUUAAAGGCCACUUUACCUAACUCAAAGCAUUCAAAGGAGAUGUGCCAUGUACAUUAGCUGAACUGUAAAGACACAAGCAUGCAGAGAAUCUGACACUAACACCUCACACUAAAUUUGCUAAUGUACUAUGCAUACAUUAGAAUUCAGAGAAAAGUUUAACCUGCCAGUUAAAUGUUUUAACUUGUUUUCACUGAUCCCUUGUAAUAUGUGUUUGCACUUUUGUUUUUUAGUUGAAACCCAUUAUAUGUGAUGUCCUAUAUAUGCAUCGGUGUAGAGAAUUUGGGGGCCAACAAAAAUUAGGAGACAGCUAACAACAACAACAACAAGAAAACAGUUUCAACCAAGAGAGGUCUAGGUUCUGCACAGUAAGGAUAAAUUAUAUAUCCUUUCUGUGUGUAGAACAGUUCUGAAUUUGAGAAUAGGUUGUUGUUUGUUUGUUUGUUUGUUUUUUGCCUGUCCCAUUUGGUUCUUUAGCCAUCAGAAUUGUUGUCUGAAGACCAACAAGGAUACCCAAUGGAUUUACUUUGCCAAAUGGAUCUUCGUGGCAUUGCCGUAUUGGUCCAUUUGGUCGAUCUUUGUUUUUAUUAUUUAUUAUAUUUUAUUUUCAGAUGUUACAGACGGGACAGACAUGAGUGAGAGAUAGGAAAGGGAGAAAGAAAGAGGAAGGAAAGGAAAAACAGAAGGGGAGAGGGACAGUGAGAAAGGGGGGGAGAAAAAAAAUAAAAAUCUCCUGGAUCACCUGUUGAGAGAAGAAUAGAAAACAAGCAAAAAAAACAAAAAAAAAAACAAAGCAACAUACUAAACACAACACCAUCGCAUUAAUCUAGCUAAGUGUAAACAGCAGUAAAUACUAAAUAUUCAAUGUUGUUGUGCAGCACGCAGGACAGAUGUGCUUCGAAGUAGCAGCCAAGAAAGGUAUAAUUUAAGUCUACGAGCAGUGAACACCCGUGUGCAUACCUGUGUGGAUCAGCGCGCUUGUAUUCCAAAGGUUUCUCCAUGUAACGAUCUGCUAGGGAGUGUGGGGGGGCCACAGCCCCGUCCUCCAGGGUGUGAAGCAGGUAUGGAGGAGAUCAAAACUCCAGACAUCCAGAGGCCCCCAGAACACAAGAGACCAUAGAAGACCAACAGAGGGGCAGCCGCGCCACUGUCCCAGCAAGAGCUGAGGAGAGUCCCAGAUGAGGGCUCACUCAGCUGCCGCGGAGCAGAAGCCAGGGGGAGUUGCAGUGACGCGCCCGUGAGCUCCGCCGGCAGCCAGCUGUGCCUGAGUGACCGAGCCCGAGGCCGGGGGCACCCCACCUCCGAAGUGGCCCGAGCGAGCCCCAGGUCCCAGGCCCCGAUAAGCGGCCGCCAAGGAGUGAGCCGGUGUGUACCUGGACGCCCACCCCCAGACACAAAGAACCACCAACGCACCGACACCUGAGGGAGUCCGCCACCGGCAGGGGAAGUGGUGGUGGGUGGAGAUAGGCCUCCAAACCUUGGAGGGCCUGAGGUGUCCCCAGAGAGGUGGUGUCUGAUACCCAACCUGACAUAUAGACACAGACAUACAGGCACACACAGACACAAACAUCCAUUCCCACCCUCAUGCUCUCAUGUGCACUUACUCCACACUCAACCAACGUGGAGACAGACAUAAAGAGACGCUGUACACACGAUCACACUCCCCAAGCGUACUCUACAAACCGGGUGUUUGUUUGUUUUUGCAUUUUUAGCUUGUACCUUAAAAAGUCCAGUCAGCUUGUCAAUUGUUUUGAAUACCAAAACCUACAAAAAGUACCCUUGGAUUCAAAUGUACUAUUAUUUUAAAUGUUUAUAAAAAUAUAGUGAUGUUUUCAUCCUCAGUUUAAUAUUGAAUAAAAUCAGAUCUAAUAUCAAAUAUGUUGGACAUGAAAUAUUAUGUUUUCUAAAAAUUGUUAGGAAAAGGCCUUAAAUGUCUGAUGAUGUGGGGUGGCCAAAUACUCUGCAUUGCUGUAAAAGGUAGCAUAGCAAGGAUACAUGGUAAAUGAAGACGGUUUUCAUGAAUGAUGCAUGAUGAUACAUACUGUAUGACUUAAAAUCAUAGAAUCAUUAGAUUGCAUUAUUAACAGUACUGGGUGGCAGACUGCCCUUUAACUAUCACUGGUGCUGAUGGUGGUCCCCUUUGCUGCGUGUAUCUUUUGCGUUGGAAUGUGACUGGAGGCUUUUCUCCUUUUCUGCAUUACCCUGUGAUAGGUUUGUAGCUUAAACCCAUUCGCUGGAACGUUCAAGACAAUUCAACUACACAGCAAAAGCAAGACGCGAGUAGGCAAAGUUCUUUGUGUUAUUCAUGCAUGAGGGAGGCCUGCCUCGUUCCACCCACUUGACCUCCGUCAGCCUCUCAGCCAGGUUCCCUGUAGCACUCCUUUUAUUGUGGUCACAUGAAUAUGCAUAGGUUCACUAACAUAUGACGUUUCAUAUAGGUAUACAUGUGGACAAAGAAUACCUCGUCUUUGUGUGUGCAUGCCAGAGUGCUCUGGGAGGCACACAGAGUCUCCACAGACUACUAAGGAUCAACCCUCUACCAACAUGACAUUGAUUAUGCAACUCUAAGCAUGUAUGAGUAAAUAUUUCUAAGCAUAAAAAACAAACCACUAUAUAAACCUGACACCCUGGAAGCAAAAUGAAAACACUAACAAUAUUGAGAAUUAAAAGGUUUCCAUAUCACAUUGAGAAACAGAAUAUGUCUUUUGGACCCAUCAACGAUGCUGUUUACAUUUUGUACAGUGACAACUUUUUCAGUCUUUUUUUUUCUUUUUUUUAAUAAAUGUAGUUAUGUCAAAUGUUACUUUGCAACUGAUGAAAUGAGAAGUCUAGCUAACACCAUGUUUCUGUCUAGCUACCCCCUUCUGCCUACAUUGUACAGUUCCUUCAUGACUGAUGUGGCUCUUAUUAGAUUCUUGUUGUUUUUUUUUCCAUUUUAUGAUUAAAAAACCAGGAACAUACACUUCUUUCUCUGGUCUUCAUUUUACAUUGUGAAAGAUUUAAUUUGUAUAUGCAGAACACACUUCUG
ensembl:lncRNA